rnacentral:snRNA from 1 species
GUGCUGUCUUUGGCAGCACAUAUACUAAAAUUGGAAUGAUACAGAGAUUAGCAUGGCCGCUGAACAAGGAUGACACAUAUAUUCAUAAGGCGUUCCAUAAUUUU